rnacentral:rRNA from 1 species
AUGAACGCUGGCGGCGUGCUUAACACAUGCAAGUCGAACGAAGCACCCUCAUCCGUGGAAGGGAGUAGCUUGCUACGAACGGACACACCCGAGGGUGACUGAGUGGCGGACGGGUGAGUAACGCGUGGGCAACCUGCCCCAUAGAGGGGGACAACAGUUAGAAAUGACUGCUAAUACCGCAUAGUAAAGUAGAUCCGCAUGCUUCUGCUUUGAAAGCUUUUGCGCUAUGGGAUGGGCCCGCGUUUGAUUAGCUAGUUGGUGAGGUAACGGCCCACCAAGGCGACGAUCAAUAGCCGGCUUGAGAGAGUGAACGGCCACAUUGGGACUGAGACACGGCCCAAACUCCUACGGGAGGCAGCAGUGGGGAAUAUUGCACAAUGGGGGAAACCCUGAUGCAAGCGACGCCGCGUGAGUGAAGAAGUAUUUCGGUAUGUAAAGCUCUAUCAGCAGGAAAGAUAAUGACGGUACCUGACUAAGAAGCCCCGGCUAACUACGUGCCAGCAGCCGC